UGAGUACGAGAUGCUACGGCAUCGAAGCAGUCUAUGUCAUACUUCCAAGAAAAGCUUGCAAUGUCAUAAACAAAUAAUGCCUGUACCAUAACCGACACAGGUGGGUAGGUAGAGUAUACUAAGGGGCGCGAGAUAACUCUCUCUAAGGAACUCGGCAAAAUGACUCCGUAACUUCGGGAGAAGGAGUGCCUUAUUUUUAUAAGGCUGCAAUAACAAGAUCCAAGCAACUGUUUACCAAAAACACAGGUCUCCGCUAAGUCGUAAGACGAUGUAUGGGGGCUGACGCCUGCCCAGUGCCAGAAGGUUAAAGAAGUUGGUUAGCAUUAGCGAAGCUGAUAACUGAAGCCCUGGUGAACGGCGGCCGUAACAAUAACGGUCCUAAGGUAGCGAAAUUCCCUGUCGGGUAAGUUCCGACCCGCACGAAAGGCGUAAUGAUUUGGAUACUGUCUCGGAGAGGGGCUCGGUGAAAUAGACUUGUCUGUGAAGAUGCGGACUACCUGCACCUGGACAGAAAGACCCUAUGAAGCUUUACUGUAACUUGAGAUUGAAAUUGGACUUUAUCUGCGCAGUAUAGGUGGGAGACGUUGAAAAUAUUCUUGCGGGAAUAUUGGAGUCAUCAGUGAGAUACCACUCUUAUAAUGUUAGAUUUCUAACUUUGUAACAUAUCUGGUCAAAGAACAGUUUCAGGCGGGCAGUUUGACUGGGGCGGUCGCCUCCCAAACGGUAACGGAGGCGCACAAAGGUUUCCUCUGAACGCGUAGAAAUCGUAUCUAGAGUGUAAAGGCAUAAGGAAGCUUGACUGUGAGACCUACAAGUCGAGCAGGGACGAAAGUCGGUCUUAGUGAUCUGACGGUGCUGAGUGGAAAGGCCGUCACUCAACGGAUAAAAGUUACUCUAGGAUAACAGGCUGAUCUCCCCCAAGAGUUCACAUCGACGGGGAGGUUUGGCACCUCGAUGUCGGCUCAUCGCAUCCUGGGGCGGUAGUACGUCCCAAGGGUUGGGCUGUUCGCCCAUGAAAGCGGUACGCGAGCUGGGUUCAGAACGUCGUGAGACAGUUCGGUCCAUAUCCGGUGUAGGCGUUAGAAUAUUGAGAGGAGCCUUCUUUAGUACGAGAGGACCGAGAAGGACAUACCUCUGGUGUACCAGUUAUCGUGCCAACGGUAAACGCUGGGUAGCCAUGUAUGGAGAGGAUAACCGCUGAAAGCAUCUAAGUGGGAAGCCCACCUCAAGAUAAG
rnacentral:rRNA from 1 species